rnacentral:rRNA from 1 species
UACGUAGGGUGCGAGCGUUAAUCGGAAUUACUGGGCGUAAAGCGUGCGCAGGCGGUUUUGUAAGUCAGAUGUGAAAUCCCCGGGCUUAACCUGGGAACUGCGUUUGAAACUACAAGGCUAGAGUGUGGCAGAGGGGGGUGGAAUUCCACGUGUAGCAGUGAAAUGCGUAGAGAUGUGGAGGAACACCGAUGGCGAAGGCAGCCCCCUGAGUUAACACUGACGCUCAGGCACGAAAGCGUGGGGAGCAAACAGG